UACAGAGGUCCCGAGCGUUGUUCGGAUUCACUGGGCGUAAAGGGUGCGUAGGUGGUGAGGUAAGUCGGAUGUGAAAGCUCGGAGCUCAACUCCGAAAUGGCAUUGGAAACUACCUUGCUCGAGGGUUGGAGGGGGGACUGGAAUGCUUGGUGUAGCAGUGAAAUGCGUAGAUAUCAAGCGGAACACCAGUGGCGAAGGCGAGUCCCUGGACAACUCCGUGACACUGAGGCACGAAAGCUAGGGGAGCAAACAGG
rnacentral:rRNA from 1 species